rnacentral:rRNA from 1 species
GAUGAACGCUGACAGAAUGCUUAACACAUGCAAGUCUACUUGAACUUCGGUUUGGGUGGCGGACGGGUGAGUCACGCGUAAAGAACUUGCCUCACAGUUAGGGACAACAUUUGGAAACGAAUGCUAAUACCUGAUAUUAUGAUUUUAGGGCAUCCUAGGAUUAUGAAAGCUAUAUGUGCUGUGAGAGAGCUUUGCGUCCCAUUAGCUAGUUGGAGAGGUAACGGCUCACCAAGGCGAUGAUGGGUAGCCGGCCUGAGAGGGUGAACGGCCACAAGGGGACUGAGACACGGCCCUAACUCCUACGGGAGGCAGCAGUGGGUAAUAUUGGACAAUGGACCAAAAGUCUGAUCCAGCAAUUCUGUGUGCACGAUGACGUUUUUCGGAAUGUAAAGUGCUUUCAGUUGGGAAGAAAAAAAUGACGGUACCAACAGAAGAAGUGACGGCUAAAUACGUG